GCCCAGAUAGCUCAGUCGGUAGAGCAAAGGACUGAAAAUCCUUGUGUCGCUGGUUCGAUUCCGGCUCUGGGCA
rfam:Finegoldia magna ATCC 29328 DNA, complete genome.